CAUGUGUUCGAACACAUCGACUAACGAUGAAUCUGCGAAAGGCUCAUUAAAACAGCUAUAAUUUACUCGAUUUUGACUAUCUAAACGGAUAACUGCGAAAAAUUUGGAGCUAAUACGUGCACCUAAGCAAGAUCCUCUGGAGCUUGCGCACUUAUUAGACGAAGACCAAUCAGGGCAACCUGUUUUGGUGACUCUGAAUAAUUUCGCUGAUCGCAUGGUCUUGUACCGGCGACGGAUCGAUCGAGUUUCUGCCCUAUCAACUGUCGAUGGAAGUCCAUGUGACUGCCAUGGUUGUAACGGGUAACGGAGGAUCAGGGUUCGACUCCGGAGAGGGAGCCUGAGAAACGGCUACCACAUCCAAGGAAGGCAGCAGGCGCGUAAAUUACCCACUCUCAAUUCGAGGAGGUAGUGACUAUCAAUAACGAGACAGAUCUCUAUGAGGCCUGUUAUCGGAAUGGAUACAAUAUAAAUCCUUUAAUGAGGAACUAUGAGAGGGCAAGUCUGGUGCCAGCAGCCGCGGUAAUUCCAGCUCUCAAAGUGUAUAUCGUCCUUGCUGCGGUUAAAAAGCUCGUAGUUGGACCUGAGCUCGUGGACAUGGUACUCCAUGUGAGUAACUGUGCUCCUGAGCUGUUGUACCGGUUUUCCGUGGUUUGCUUUAACCGGCAGGCUGCGGUGGCUGGUGUGUUUACCUUGAAUAAAUCAAAAUGCUCAAGAUAGGCGUUUCGCCUGAAUGACAGUGCAUGGAAUAAUGGAAUAAGACUUCGGUUUAUUCUGUUGGUCUUGAAACCGAUGUAAUGGUUAAAAGGGACUUACGGGGGCAUUUGUAUCGAUGCGUGAGAGGUGAAAUUCUUGGACCGCAUCGAGACAAACUACUGCGAAAGCAUUU
rnacentral:rRNA from 1 species